rnacentral:rRNA from 1 species
AUUGAACGCUGGCGGCAUGCCUUACACAUGCAAGUCGAACGGUAACGCGGGGGCAACCCUGGCGACGAGUGGCGAACGGGUGAGUAAUACAUCGGAACAUAUCCAGUAGCGGGGGAUAACCUAUCGAAAGAUUGGCUAAUACCGCAUACGAUCUACGGAUGAAAGCAGGGGACCGCAAGGCCUUGCACUAUUGGAGUGGCCGAUGUCAGAUUAGCUAGUUGGUGGGGUAAAAGCCUACCAAGGCGACGAU